CCUACGGGAGGCAGCAGUAGGGAAUCUUCCGCAAUGGACGAAAGUCUGACGGAGCAACGCCGCGUGAACGAUGAAGGCCUUCGGGUCGUAAAGUUCUGUUGUCAGGGAAGAACAAGUAUCGGAGUAACUGCCGGUACCUUGACGGUACCUGACCAGAAAGCCACGGCUAACUACGUGCCAGCAGCCGCGGUAAUACGUAGGUGGCAAGCGUUGUCCGGAAUUAUUGGGCGUAAAGCGCGCGCAGGCGGUUCCUUAAGUCUGAUGUGAAAGCCCCCGGCUCAACCGGGGAGGGUCAUUGGAAACUGGGGAACUUGAGUGCAGAAGAGGAGAGCGGAAUUCCACGUGUAGCGGUGAAAUGCGUAGAGAUGUGGAGGAACACCAGUGGCGAAGGCGGCUCUCUGGUCUGUAACUGACGCUGAGGCGCGAAAGCGUGGGGAGCGAACAGGAUUAGAUACCCUGGUAGUCCACGCCGUAAACGAUGAGUGCUAAGUGUUAGAGGGUUUCCGCCCUUUAGUGCUGCAGCAAACGCAUUAAGCACUCCGCCUGGGGAGUACGGCCGCAAGGCUGAAACUUAAAGGAAUUGAC
rnacentral:rRNA from 1 species